rnacentral:rRNA from 1 species
GAUGAACGCUGGCGGCGUGCCUAAUACAUGCAAGUCGAGCGAACAGACGAGGAGCUUGCUCCUCUGACGUUAGCGGCGGACGGGUGAGUAACACGUGGAUAACCUACCUAUAAGAAUGGGAUAACUUCGAGAAACCGGAGCUAAUACCGGAUAAUAUAUUGAACCGCAUGGUUCAAUAGUGAAAGACGGUUUUGCUGUCACUUAUAGAUGGAUCCGCGCCGCAUUAGCUAGUUGGUAAGGUAACGGCUUACCAAGGCAACGAUGCGUAGCCGACCUGAGAGGGUGAUCGGCCACACUGGAACUGAGACACGGUCCAGACUCCUACGGGAGGCAGCAGUAGGGAAUCUUCCGCAAUGGGCGAAAGCCUGACGGAGCAACGCCGCGUGAGUGAUGAAGGUCUUCGGAUCGUAAAACUCUGUUAUUAGGGAAGAACAAAUGUGUAAGUAACUAUGCACGUCUUGACGGUACCUAAUCAGAAAGCCACGGCUAACUACGUG